rnacentral:rRNA from 1 species
CGCCCGGGCAUUAUGAGCUUUAGCUUAAAACCCAAAGGACUUGACGGUGUCCCAUCCACCUAGAGGAGCCUGUUCUAUAAUCGUUACUCCACGCUUUACCUCACCACUUUUAGCCUAUCAGCCUGUAUACCUCCGUCGUAAGUUUACCGUGUGAACGUCUGCAGUAAACUAAAUGACUUUUCGCCAAUACGUCAGGUCAAGGUGCAGCCCAUGAAGUGGCAAGCAAUGGGCUACAAUUUCUAACCUAGAACAAACGGAUAAACUGCCAUGAAACAGUUUAGAAGGGGGAUUUAGUAGUAAAAAGGAAGUAGUAUGUCCUUUUUAAUUUGGCCCUGGGACGUGU